ACGAAGGGGGCUAGCGUUGUUCGGAAUUACUGGGCGUAAAGGGCGCGUAGGCGGUUUAACAAGUUGGGUGUGAAAGCCCAGGGCUCAACCCUGGAAAUGCACUCAAGACUGUUUUACUUGAAUUCGGUAGAGGUUGGUGGAAUUCCCAGUGUAGAGGUGAAAUUCGUAGAGAUUGGGAAGAACACCCGUGGCGAAGGCGGCCAACUGGACCGACAUUGACGCUGAGGCGCGAAAGCGUGGGGAGCAAACAG
rnacentral:rRNA from 1 species